UGAGCAAUCUGCCCUUCUCAUCGGAAUAAGCGUUGGAAACGACGUCUAAUGCCGAAUACGACCUCCUUUCGCAUGAUCGGAGGUGGAAAGCUCCGGCGGAGAAGGAUGAGCUCGCGGCCUAUCAGCUAGUUGGUGUGGUAAUGGCCCACCAAGGCGACGACGGGUAGCCGGCCUGAGAGGGUGACCGGCCACACUGGGACUGAGACACGGUCCAGACUCCUACGGGAGCAG
rnacentral:rRNA from 1 species